AUCGGUUCUCGGGUGAUGCACCCCAGAAUUGGGCUCCCUCCUCUCUGGUUCCAGGGUGUGUCAUUCGAGAACUGCU
rfam:Myotis davidii contig166770, whole genome shotgun sequence.